rnacentral:rRNA from 1 species
AUUGACCGCUGGCGGCAGGCCUAACACAUGCAAGUCGAACGAGUGGCGGACGUGUGAGUAAUGUAUGGGAAACUGCCCGAUGGAGGGGGAUAACUACUGGAAACGGUAGCUAAUACCGCAUUCCAUCGGAGAUGCCCAGAUGGGAUUAGCGAGUAGGUGGGGUAACGGCUCACCGAGGAGUCGAUCCCUAGCUGGUCUGAGAGGAAGACCAGCUACAAUGGAAUUGAGACACGGUCCAUGCUCCUACGGGAGGCAGCAGUGGGGAAUAUUGCACAAUGGGCGCAAGCCUGAGGCAGCCAUGCCGCGUGUAUGAAGAAGGCCUUCGGGUUGUAAAGUACGUUCAGCGAGGAGGCGUUACUCGCAGAAGAAGCACCGGCUAACUCCGUGCCAGCAGCCGCGGUAAUUC